rnacentral:pre_miRNA from 1 species
GGAAUAUAAGAACUUGUCUCUUAACUUUUAACUAAAAAAAUUAAGAACCGGCUCUUAAAUAAGAGUUUUAAGAGACGGUUCUUAACUUUUUUAGUUAAAAGUUAAGAGACAGUUUCUUAUAUUCC